rnacentral:rRNA from 1 species
GACGUAGGGCGCGAGCGUUGUCCGGAUUUAUUGGGCGUAAAGAGCUCGUAGGCGGCUUGUCGCGUCGACUGUGAAAUCCCGCGGCUCAACUGCGGGUCUGCAGUCGAUACGGGCAGGCUAGAGUUCGGUAGGGGAGACUGGAAUUCCUGGUGUAGCGGUGAAAUGCGCAGAUAUCAGGAGGAACACCGGUGGCGAAGGCGGAUCUCUGGGCCAUUACUGACGCUGAGGAGCGAAAGCGUGGGGAGCGAACAGG